ACUUUUAAAGGAUGGAAGUUAUCCAUUGGUCUUAGGAGCCAAAAACUUGGUGCAACUCCAAAUAAAAGUA
rnacentral:tRNA from 1 species